rnacentral:lncRNA from 1 species
CAGGGGCAGUUUCGGAAAUUUCUUGUCAUGACCUCAACUUUGAGUUUCCAACAAUAAUACUCCAUAAAUCCAUCAUUUUAACCACUAAACUACCAUUAAAUCCAACAUUAAACCUCUAAUCAGCAACAACCCAAGUGUGGGAAUUCAUAGAGCCCACUUUCAAAUUUUCCAACAAUAUCAAGCCAUCCAUACACAUGCAAUAGCUUAAAGAUGUAUUUCUACCAUCAUAAUCCAAGUUUAAGGUGUAGGAUGAUGUUAUACCUCCUUAGUGCUUUAGAUCAGAAAUUUUCGGUCCUCAAGAGGCUCCAAGAAACCGUGAAUUGCAGCCCUUUAGUUAGCUAGAUCCAACCUCCAAGUAGUUUGCUAGAUGGUCUUCAAGUUUGGUGAAGAUUCAUUGAAGUUUUGUGGUUGAUUUGGUGAAGAAAAUUUUGAAAUAAUGGAGUGAGAGAGAGAGGUGGGCUGGUCGGCACU